rnacentral:rRNA from 1 species
AUUGAACGCUGGCGGCAGGCCUAACACAUGCAAGUCGAGCGAGCGGCGGACGGGUGAGGAAUGUAUGGGGACUGCCCGAUAGAGGGGGAUAACUACUGGACACGGUAGCUAAUACCGCAUACUAUCGGAUAACCCAUAUGGGAUUCGCUAGUAGGUGAGGUAAGGGCUCACCUAGGCGACGAUCCCUAGCUGGUCUGAGAGGUUGAUAAGCCACCCUGGAACGGAGACACGGCCCGGACACCUACGGAGGCAGGAGGGGGGAAUAUUGCACAAGGGGCGCAAGCCGGAUGCAGCCAUGCCGGGUGUAUGAAGAAGGCCCUAGGGUUGUAAGGACUUUCAGUCGGGAGGCGUUACCGACAGAAGAAGCACCGGCUAACUCCGUGCCAGCAGCCGCGGUAAUUC